GGGCCCGCACAAGCGGUGGAGUAUGUGGUUUAAUUCGAUGCAACGCGAAGAACCUUACCAGGGUUUGACAUCCUGCGAAUCUCUUGGAAACAGGAGAGUGCCUUCGGGAACGCAGUGACAGGUGGUGCAUGGCUGUCGUCAGCUCGUGUCGUGAGAUGUUGGGUUAAGUCCCGCAACGAGCGCAACCCACGUCUUUAGUUGCCAGCAUUUAGUUGGGCACUCUAGAGAGACUGCCGGUGAUAAACCGGAGGAAGGCGGGGAUGACGUCAAGUCCUCAUGGCCCUUAUGGGCUGGGCUACACACGUGCUACAAUGGCAGUGACAGAGGGACGCUACCAGGUGACUG
rnacentral:rRNA from 1 species